UACGUAGGUGGCGAGCGUUAUCCAGAUUUAUUGGGCGUAAAGCGUCCGCAGCCGGUUUAUUAAGUCUAGAAUAAAAUCCCGAAGCUUAACUUCGGUUCGUUUUAGAAACUGGUAGACUUGAGUGUGGUAGAAGCAAGUGGAACUUCUAGUGUAGCGGUAGAAUGCGUAGAUAUUAGAAAGAACACCAGUGGCGAAGGCGACUUGCUGGGCCAUUACUGACGGUCAGGGACGAAAGCGUGGGGAGCAAAUA
rnacentral:rRNA from 1 species